AGACCAUGGCCAGAAAUUCGCGACAUUGAGCAGUCAUAGAGAUCAGCGGUAAUCCUCAAUAAAUUUCAAAAUGGCGGCCAAACAUGCUAGCACAAGAGUGGAUUACAAACAAUUACACUGUCGUAGCUCUGUAAUUAUGUAUGAUAAUUCCAGUGCACGAAAAGAACAGGGAAAGAUUUACCCUGUUAUUCAUCUUGCAACACUACAAUGCUCUUCACUUUGUCCAGCACGUUUUCCCGUGUUCCAUUCUACCGCUUGUUCCAGCAAGUUAUUUCGCUGCUUUUGAACAAGAUACUCGUAAUAUAUUUUCAAUUCGUGAACAAUUCUCCUUGAUUUGGAUAGGAUACGAUUUAACAACAAACACGUUGAGUAAUUGUACAUAUGAACAAGAACUAGCAACAGUUUGUUUUACUUCAUGCCAACUUUUUAAUUGCUCGUACGGCACAUGAAUGGAGAAUGACAAUUUUUCCGCAACGUCAACACAAAAUUGACAAUUUUGUAAAUUGUUUUAUGUAGUUCGUAGAAUGAAUACUGUCGAUUACUAUAUCCUUUUUGAAUUUUGUCUUGAAAUAUGACUCCAAAGAUGAAUAAUUCAUCACAACCACUUUGAAUUUUGCAUUUCAAUUUCCCGCCAAUGUGAAACUGACACGAUGUUAUUACAUGAAGUACGGCUAUAAACACACAGUACGCUGAACACUAAAACUGCUAAUCAUUUAAAUAUGGCUGCCGUGAAAGAGCAGAUUUUGAGCUUCAAUUUGAUAUCCUGGAUGGAAAAUAUCGUGAAAAAACGCCGUAGAAUAUCGAAAUCAAAGUGACGGCAAUCCCUUUAAAACGUCGAGCAAUGUAACUGUUGCGUGGUCCGCCGGGAGUAGAAAAUAUGGAUUUUCAAGCCUGAAAUGGAAAGGUCAAACAAUGUGCAACGUCUCACUACGACAUCAUUUGCAAAUGUUCAAGGCUUCAACUUUGGAUAUUCGAGUGCACAUUCGAGCAAAGUGUUACCCCUAACUUAUAACAAGCUUGUUUAAUGGGACACUUGGUUAUAUUCGCUAAUGGUUUUGGCUGUUUAGAAGGUAACCACAUAAACCAUUUUUACGAAACUAAUUUGGAAAGGUUAAAUUUAAAAAUCUACUUAUAAAAUACUGCUUAGAUUAAUAAUAUUGGUAUGUUUAACGAAG